UUUUAAAAUGCCAGGAAGUCAUUUAAUUUUAUUGAAAAACAAUAUUAUCAUUGAAGUCCAAAUGAAAUUGUUAAAAUCAAGUUCUAAUCUAAAGGUUUUUAAGUGUAAUGAGAAAUAACCUACAGUAUAGCACCUAGACUAAAGAGACUUUGUUUUUUUUUUAGUUAAAUUUAAAAGCGUUCUAAAAAUUUUACAUGCUCAUGGUGGACUAGUCUCUGCUCGCUAGAACAAACCAACUCCACUGUAAUUUAUUUUAGAAUCUAAAGUCCCACUGUGAACAAGAUCGGACAACCAAUCAUCAUUAUACCCCAGACAGAUGACAUGUGCUCCACUACUUCCUGGA